AACAAAAAACACGGGAGCUUGCUAUGCGCAGGCUGAGAGGAAACGCAGACGUUUCGACCAUACCUGAUUUGGGUAAUGCCAACGUAGGGAACCAUGCACAUCAUUGC
rnacentral:ncRNA from 1 species